rnacentral:rRNA from 1 species
UACGAGGGGGGCGAGCGUUGUUCGGAAUUACUGGGCGUAAAGGGCGCGUAGGCGGAUAGUCUCGUCAGAGGUGAAAGCCCAGGGCUCAACCUUGGAAUUGCCUUUGAUACUGGCUAUCUUGAGUUCGGGAGAGGUGAGUGGAAUGCCGAGUGUAGAGGUGAAAUUCGUAGAUAUUCGGCGGAACACCAGUGGCGAAGGCGACUUACUGGACACAUAUUGACGCUGAGGUGCGAAAGCGUGGGGAUCAAACAGG